rnacentral:tRNA from 1 species
GCCCCCGUAGGGUAGCGGAUAUCCUGGAGGUCUUCGGAACCUCCGACCCGGGUUCAACUCCCGGCGGGGGCA